rnacentral:tRNA from 1 species
AGCAGCGUGGCUCAGUGUGGAAAGAGUCUGGGCUUGGGAGUCAGAGUUCAUGGGUUCGAAUCCCGGCUCUGCCA